GUGGGGAAUAUUGGACAAUGGGCGCAAGCCUGAUCCAGCCAUGCCGCGUGAGUGAUGAAGGCCCUAGGGUUGUAAAGCUCUUUCACCGGAGAAGAUAAUGACGGUAUCCGGAGAAGAAGCCCCGGCUAACUUCGUGCCAGCAGCCGCGGUAAUACGAAGGGGGCUAGCGUUGUUCGGAAUUACUGGGCGUAAAGCGCACGUAGGCGGACAUUUAAGUCAGGGGUGAAAUCCCGGGGCUCAACCCCGGAACUGCCUUUGAUACUGGGUGUCUGGAGUAUGGAAGAGGUAAGUGGAAUUCCGAGUGUAGAGGUGAAAUUCGUAGAUAUUCGGAGGAACACCAGUGGCGAAGGCGGCUUACUGGUCCAUUACUGACGCUGAGGUGCGAAAGCGUGGGGAGCAAACAGGAUUAGAUACCCCAGUAGUCC
rnacentral:rRNA from 1 species